rnacentral:rRNA from 1 species
AGAGUUUGAUCCUGGCUCAGGAUGAACGCUAGCGGCAGGCUUAACACAUGCAAGUCGAGGGGCAGCAUAAUGGAUAGCAAUAUCUAUGGUGGCGACCGGCGCACGGGUGCGUAACGCGUAUGCAACCUACCUUUAACAGGGGGAUAACACUGAGAAAUUGGUACUAAUACCCCAUAAUAUCAUAGAAGGCAUCUUUUAUGGUUGAAAAUUCCGAUGGUUAGAGAUGGGCAUGCGUUGUAUUAGCUAGUUGGUGGGGUAACGGCUCACCAAGGCGACGAUACAUAGGGGGACUGAGAGGUUAACCCCCCACACUGGUACUGAGACACGGACCAGACUCCUACGGGAGGCAGCAGUGAGGAAUAUUGGUCAAUGGACGCAAGUCUGAACCAGCCAUGCCGCGUGCAGGAUGACGGCUCUAUGAGUUGUAAACUGCUUUUGUACGAGGGUAAACGCAGAUACGUGUAUCUGUCUGAAAGUAUCGUACGAAUAAGGAUCGGCUAACUCCGUGCCAGCAGCCGCGGUAAUACGGAGGAUUCAAGCGUUAUCCGGAUUUAUUGGGUUUAAAGGGUGCGUAGGCGGUUUGAUAAGUUAGAGGUGAAAUUUCGGGGCUCAACCCUGAACGUGCCUCUAAUACUGUUGAGCUAGAGAGUAGUUGCGGUAGGCGGAAUGUAUGGUGUAGCGGUGAAAUGCUUAGAGAUCAUACAGAACACCGAUUGCGAAGGCAGCUUACCAAACUAUAUCUGACGUUGAGGCACGAAAGCGUGGGGAGCAAACAGGAUUAGAUACCCUGGUAGUCCACGCAGUAAACGAUGAUAACUCGUUGUCGGCGAUACACAGUCGGUGACUAAGCGAAAGCGAUAAGUUAUCCACCUGGGGAGUACGUUCGCAAGAAUGAAACUCAAAGGAAUUGACGGGGGCCCGC